UACGAAGGGGGGCUAGCGUUGUUCGGAAUUACUGGGCGUAAAAGGGCUCGUAGGCGGUUUUGUCGCGUCGGGAGUGAAAAACACUGGGCUUAACUCAGUGCUUGCUUCCGAUACGGGCAGACUAGAGGUAUGCAGGGGGAGAACGGAAUUCCUGGUGUAGCGGUGAAAAUGCGCAGAUAUCAGGAGGAACACCGGUGGCGAAGGCGGUUCUCUGGGCAUUACCUGACGCUGAGGAGCGAAAGUGUGGGGGAGCGAACAGG
rnacentral:rRNA from 1 species